UGGGGAAUUUUGGACAAUGGGGGCAACCCUGAUCCAGCAAUGCCGCGUGUGUGAAGAAGGCCUUCGGGUUGUAAAGCACUUUUGUCCGGAAAGAAAUCGCACUUACUAAUAUUAGGUGUGGAUGACGGUACCGGAAGAAUAAGGACCGGCUAACUACGUGCCAGCAGCCGCGGUAAUACGUAGGGUCCAAGCGUUAAUCGGAAUUACUGGGCGUAAAGCGUGCGCAGGCGGUUGUGCAAGACCGAUGUGAAAUCCCCGGGCUUAACCUGGGAAUUGCAUUGGUGACUGCACGGCUAGAGUGUGUCAGAGGGGGGUAGAAUUCCACGUGUAGCAGUGAAAUGCGUAGAGAUGUGGAGGAAUACCGAUGGCGAAGGCAGCCCCCUGGGAUAACACUGACGCUCAUGCACGAAAGCGUGGGGAGCAAACA
rnacentral:rRNA from 2 species